rnacentral:miRNA from 1 species
UAUUGCACUGUUUUGCUUUGA